AACGAACGCUGGCGGCAUGCCUAACACAUGCAAGUCGAACGAGACCUUCGGGUCUAGUUGCUCACGCGUGCGUAACGCGUGGGAACCUUCCCUUAGGUUCGGAAUAACUCCCCUAAAGGGGUGCUAAUACCGGGUAAUGUCUUCUAACCAAAGAUUUAUCGACUUUGGAUGGGCCCGCGUUGUAUUAGCUUGUUGGUAGUGUAAAAGCCUACCAAGGCGACGAUCCUUAGCUGGUCUGAGAGGAUGAUCAGCCACACUGGGACUGAGGAACGGCCCAGAAUACUGCGGGAGGCAGCAGUGGGGAAUAUUGGACAAUGGGCGAAAGCCUGAUCCAGUAAUGCCGCGUGAGUGAUGAAGGCCUUAGGGUUGUAAAGCUCUUUUACACGGGAUGAUAAUGACAGUACCGGGAGAAUAAGCUCCGGCUAACUCCGUG
rnacentral:rRNA from 1 species